rnacentral:tRNA from 1 species
GCCCUGGUGGCUCAGUGGUUAAGCAUUUGGCUGCUAACCAAAAAGUUGGAAGUUCAAAUCCACAAGCCA